AAAGGCCCGUGUGGAUGGAGCGACGUUUGACUGCGUUAACUAUGGAGUCGGGUUGUUUGAGAAUGCAGCCCAAAGUUGGUGGUAAACUCCAUCUAAGGCUAAAUACUGGCACGAGUCCGAUAGCGAACAAGUACCGUGAGGGAAAGUUGAAAAGUACUCUGAAGAGAGAGUUAACAGUGCGUGAAACCGCUUAGAAGCAAACGGGUGUAGUCAAGCUGCAAGCCUUAAGAAAUAGGUUGGUCAGAAUGGCGUGAGUCUGAGCACAUAGAGCUGCCAGGUGGGUUCGACUAUAUGUCGUGUUCGGCUCGCAAGGGUCGGAUUUGCGAAGCGUCUCGGCGCUGCAAGCCUGUCUGUCAGUUGCUCUACUGACCCUCUUAAUUUCUUUUGGCGUAUGUCACGACCGUCUUCGCUGCCGGUCUGCUCCAUUUAAACCGUUUCGUGAGUAGUUACGUGCUACUUGCGUUGCGGGGGCAGGUAGCUGGUCUGGCCUCGGCUGGAUUGGUGUAAUUGCUGAGUGGAGUGGUAUCUGUAACUGUGCAGUAAGACGGGGCUGGCGGUGCAUUGUUGCCUGGCGUGCUAAAGUGUGUCGGCGUAGUUGGCGUAUGGCUACUCGUUGCUGUUAAUAACAGCCUUGUGGUUGCCCGACUGCGGUUUGAUGCGCGGCUGCGCUGGGUCAAUCGUGCGUUGUGCCUAUAGUCUGUGGCGUAGUGGUAGACGAUCCACCCGA
rnacentral:rRNA from 1 species